CAAUGUAUCCUACCCGAUUAUA
rnacentral:snRNA from 1 species